ensembl:lncRNA
GUGGAUUUAUUAGUAAUCAUAAUUUAAGGGGUGUUUUAUGAGUAUUACUGUUUUCUAAAGGUAUGAAUGUUUUUUUUUCUUUUCUCUUUUCUUUGUGACUGUGUUGUCACAUCAGUCUUUAGAGUGCUUGGUGUCUUCUUUUAUAUUGGUGUAUUCUGUAUUGGUAUGAAUCUCAAGGUUUUUUAUUAUUAUUGACUUAUGUUUUUUCAGACAAAAAGUGAGGUAGGUUAGUGUGAAAACAGGAUUUCAUUUAGGUAAAUUUAGAGGUAGGCAGGCAGGUAAGUGUGGAUUUUGUAGUAGUAAUAAUAGUGUUGUGGGUUUUUUUUUAUGAGUAUUACUGCUUUUUAAAGGUAUGAAUCCUUUUUUCUUUUCCUUUCUUUCUUUCUUUGUAGUCAGAUCAACUUGCAGAUUGCUUGAUAUCCACUCUUAUAUUGGUCUUUUCUGUAAAGUCAGAUCAGCUUGCAGAUUGCUUGAUAUCCACUCUUAUAUUGGUCUUUUCUGUAAAGGUAUGAAUCUCAACAUUUUCACUGUAUUCAUUAGUUCAUUUGCAGGAAUUGUGUGGUGUCAAUUAAGUGUAAUACUGUGGGUUUUUUUGUAUUAUAUUUUCAGGGGCGUCUUAAGUAUGAAUUAGGAUUGAGGUACGUAAAUUUGAUUUUCAUGAAAAAGGUGAGGUAGGACUGUUUUGUGUUGUCAAUUAGGUUUAAUAUGUGUUUUGUAAAAGUAUUAAUCUAGACCGUUUUUAAAGCUUAGUUACAGGUUUGAGUUUUAUUAACAUUUGUCACUCCAAAGUAAUAUUGUGUUUAGUGAAAGUAUUGAUCUAGAUUUUUUUUACUGCAUGUAUAAGUUCAUUUGCAGGAUUGAGGUAGGUAACUAUGUAUUUCAGACAAAAAGUGUGGUAGGUCAGUGUGAAUACAGGAAUUUGUUUAAGUACAUUUAGAGGUAGGCAGGUAUGCUAGUGCAGACUUUGUAGUAAUAAUUGAGCAUUACUGUUUUGUAAAGGUAUUAAUCAUUUUUUUAUCUUUUCUUUGUGCGUGUGUCGUCAGAUCACUCUAGAUUGCUUGAUGUCUUUUUUUUGGUCACUUUUUGAAAGGUAUGGAUAUCAACAUUGUUUUUGUGAAGAUGGAGUCAAAUCAGUCUUCAUAGUGCUUGAAGUAUGUAGUUAGGUUGGGAGGUUAGGAGCUGUGUAUGGAUUACUGUUUAUUUAAAAGCGUAGUUGCAGGAUUGAUUUUUUUUAACAAUUGUCAAUUGAGUAAUAUUCUAUUUAGUGAAAGUAUAAAUACUUUCUUUCUUUUUUUUUUAUUGUGAUUUUGGAGUCAGAUAUGUCUUCAAAAUGGUUGAUGUCCAUUUUUAUAUUGGUCACUUCUGUCAAGGUAGGAUAUUUUUUAAUGUCUUUAUUAUAUCAUGUGCAGGAUUCUGUCAAUUUAGUGCUCUGUAAAGUAAUUUGUUUAGACUUUUUAAAAGUUUAGUUGCUGGAAUGUUGUAUUAACAAUUGUGUGCUGUCAAUUAAUAUUGUUUGGAAAGGUAUGGAUCUAGUUUUUUACUGUAUUAGCUCAUUUGCAGGAUUGUGAAGUAUUAACAAGCAUUAAGGUCCCAAGAAUGUCCAGCAUCCAGCAGUCCUCCUGGUGUGGCAU